AGGUGUAUAGCUACUAUCAGAACUGGUUAUCAACGAAGUAGACCAGCAGACAGUCACAGCAUGAUAGAUAAUGUACUAUCAGUAUUUUGAAUUGAAAACAAGCCUAUAGAACAAAUGCUCUACAAAGAUACAAGAGGGGCUGUUGCUAGCUAGAGCCAAAGAAGUCAUUACAGUUUGGACUCAAAGGAGUGGGUUCACUGCUGAUAUUCUAAAUACCAACAGGACAAGAAACAGAGUGCUACAAACAAGGAAUGAAGUUGGUACAUAUUGUUUCUGGAGGGAACACAAGGGAAAGAUGAUUGCUUGCAAUGGUACGUCCUAACUGUCACAGUGAAUGGUUCCACCACAACUUAAUGCAUUGGGGAUACUGUCCAUAUUGUCGUAAAGUGGUUUCAUUACAAGUAUAUACAUAAUUGAUUAUUAUGUAUUUUGUUUGUAUUAUUAUUUUCCAGUAAUAAUUUUUUUCUGAAACAAGUAUUUCUAAAAUGAAUUUACUAAAGUAGCACA